UGUUGAAAUGUGGUGAGGAUUGUUCAAGUAACUGUUAAGAGGAUUAGUUUGUGGCUGCGUGGAUUGGUGUGGUUGUGUGGAUUUAUGUGGAUUAUUCAACGGUGAUCUGUGAUGUGCUGCAAUCAUUCCAUCGGUAUUUACUGCGCUGCCUGGCCCGCCCUUCCCGCCCCUCUAGCCUGCAGCACAGACCACCGCCGCAGUAAAGUGAAGGGACAAGCAGAGGGUCGGGAUAUAUAUAUGCAAGUGCCCCUUCGACCUUGCCUCCAGCCACCCCUCAUGACUUAGCCAGAAAAAGAUGAUUUAAUUAUGGGGGGAAGAAAACUCGUUCAUCAUACCGCCUGUGACGCCGCUGUAGGGGAGGAUCACCUGCUGUGUGGAGGCUGUGACCUGUUGUGGUGAUGCGCCUUGUCUUGGGCCGACCAUCUUCCCGCUCCAAGUCGUCCAGCAACUCUGCAAUCUCCUCCACCAUGACGGGCUCGUAGCUGCUCUUGCCGAAGCCCAAGUCACGCAGGUGGUGAAGCAUGAAGCGACGCUGCUCCUGCCAUAUCUGUCCAUUAGUUCCCACCACACCUGCAGGGAGAGAUGAUUGUGUGUAAAAUGUGUUGGCAAAUGUUUAUCAUGUAUGUCAUAAGCUGCAACAUGGCGUCAGUGGUUCUGUUACUGUGGAGAAACAAAUGUACUCAGCGGAAGUGAAAAACCACAAUUCCCUCCGAUUUGACGGACAGUGUUACUACACUACCAGCGUAAGUGUCACAAUAAUGACUACACAGUGAAGGCUUUGAAAGAGAAACUCAAAAACAUAACUGGGAUCUUGUUCAGGAUGUUUACCUAAUUUCAUCUUCAUAUUGGUAUAUAAUCUAAUACUCUGGUAAUAUAACUGUCAAACACUGCUGCACCAGUCACGUGACAUGACACAGAGACUUACCAAUAUCCGAUAUGCGGUUGUCUGUGAGGAUUCUGUUCCUCACAGUGGUGAACACUAUUUCUGGGCGGUCAGCCGUGGCCCUCAAGGCGAACACCUCCUUCAGUAGGCUGGUGCUGCUCACCACCACCACUCUGAUGAAACACCAACAUCCAUCACAUACACCGCAGACUGUAACAUCUGAAGAAACCAUGGCAACAUUUCGGAGGACCAUCCAGUAUUCAAAGAUACAACAGAGGGCACAAAUAGGAUCUAAGUUACUGCAACUGUUCCACCUUGAUUACUCAGAAGACAAUGCACUACAUUUUGUACUCAAAUGUUGUUCACUUGUUUUUAUCCUUGCAAUCAGCAUUUCACAUUCACUUUUGCAUUCCUUGACUUUGUUCAUUCAUAUGGAUCUGCAUUACAACUCUCGAUAUUCAUUCCUGAUGCAGAUUAAAAAUCACCUUUGUCUUUUCCUUAUCACAUCUCGAUCUCUCAUCUCUUUAAUAAUGAAGCAGAGAAGCAUGAUGCAAGCAAUGAAGCUCUGAUGAUAGUUAACCCAGUGUGCAGUUCAAUAAUAAUGGAUAAUAUUUACCACGCAGCAUCUCCAUGGUGGGGCCCCGCGGCAUGGACAGGAGGGAACCCACCACGGGCAGGAUCAUCAUUCCUGUCAGCAGAGUCGCCGCAUCACUAGAAGUGUUCACGGUUACUACGUAAAUUUUACUGUUGACGGGCAACACUCAAAGUUUGAUCACCUGCUACUCAGAGUCCCUAACGCACCUGCAGCGUCACUCACCAGGUGGAAAAUUCUUGGGUCUCCUUCCAAAGACGUUGAGAACGAGGACGGUGGUAAACAGAACCACCAGAAAGGUGGGGAGCCACGCCCCCACCAGCCCUGCUCCCCAGAUUCGAAACUAAUGAAACAGGUGAGACUUCCAUGUUGGUCUCUCGCGGCAGUCCUUGCCAGGCAGUGGCGGAGCAGGGACGCGAGGUGGUACAUUUCGGCUUGGCAUCCAUAUCUUGUCCACAAUCCCGACCCUGCAGUUCUACAAUCAAUAGUGUGUGUUCAUGCAGCCGUCCUGUGCAAGUAUACACGAAGGUAGAUACAAAAAAUAACGUUGCGACGAUUUUUAACUCAAGCACCAAGCAUUGAGGAGUGGAACCCGCACAACACGCUAAUCACCCUGUUGUGCAUGCAAGACCCAAACAGUGAAAGACAUGCACUCCUAGAAUGAGUAAGCUUCAGGAGUCCAUCACAGAAGAGAGAGGCUGACGAGGAAGAAUAGAAG